rnacentral:sRNA from 1 species
GCUGGGCAUGGUGGCUCAUGCCUGUAAUCCCAGAGGCUCCGGAGGCUGAGGCAGGAGGAUCAAAAGUUCAAAGCCAGCCUGAGCAAAAGUGAGGCUUUAAGCAACUCAGUGAGAUCCUAUCUCUA